UCGUGGCUUUUCUUUUAUUAGGCCUCCUCUUUCUUGGUGACGGUUGCGCUUGCGAACUUCUCCCCCAACUUUCCCGAGAGUCCCGGUCGGGUCGGCCUCCACGUGUCGCCUCCCGAUUGGUCUGUUGUUCCUAUAAAUAACCCCCGAGCCUAACUUAACAAACCCCCCCCCCUCCCUCCAUCGUCGUCACCGUCCUCAUAGGGUUAAUGCUGAAUCUCUCUCUCUCUCUCUCUACAUCUGAGUCGCUAGAUUUUUCGAAUCCAACUGGUUCGAGCUCGUGCAUGCUCGCUCCGCACGGGCAGCUUCAGAUUGGAAGAGGGAGGGAGGAAGAUAAGAGGAGGAGGGGAAGAAGCUUCGAAGGCCGUCGUCAAUGGCGGCCUCCCGGUCGUCCGUCGGUUUUUCCUCUUUCUUGCCGGCGGUCUCUAAUUCGCUUGGUGCAGGUCGGGACCUGGUUCCGCCCGCCGUCGAUUCCCACUCCCUGAUCCGAUUCGCUCCCGGUCGCGGGAGCUUCGACGGCUAGGGGCCGAAUUGGAUCCCGCCUUGCAUCAACUGAAUCGGAGGCCGAGGCGAAGGUUCUGUUCCCGCGUCGGCGGCGCCGGUUGCUUCAGAUCUCGAGCUUCGCGAUCUCUUCCUAUUGCUCUCUCUCUCUCUCUCUCUCUCUCUCUCUCUCUCUCUCUCUCUCUCUCUCUCUCUCUCUCUCUCUCUCUCUCUGGUACUUGUUUUUUCGUUCGGUUCUGGUUAACUUCAAUCGGCGUUAGCUCAAAGAGUUAGAUUCCGGAUAGGAGUUCGAUGUUUGGCGACGUAGUGGCUACCGCCGACCUGAUCUAGUUUCGGUUCAGAAGUAGAUCUGUGUGGAUCAUUCUUCCGUGAAAAUCUUUGGUUACGUCCUGUUGAGCAAGAUAAGAGUUUGGAUAUGUGAAUUUAAUGCUUGAGCCGACGGAGUAGCUGGAUGAGUCGCAGGCCCUGGUCAUUAAAGUGGGGGGCCUCUGCUCGGUAGGUGUGUGUGAAAGUUAAGGAAAAGAACGUGGGCACUUGGACAGGCCGAUUCAUCUUAAUCUUUCAUUUUCCUUGUUACCGUCUCCGCUUUUUCUCCGCUUCUUUUGAUGUUUCGAUGCGGUUUUUUCUUUUUGUCUAUGGAAAAGGAGUGCACUUUUUUCCUUCUUUUUUUUUUUUUUCAUCUGAUAGUGGAUGCUAGCGGUUCGGCUUCCAGAAUAUUGCGGAGGAAUAUUCUCGCUUUUAUCCCGGAAUGGUUUCUCGGGUUAUUCUGCAUUUAGCUUCCUGUUACAUGAUCCAUUGAGAUAUGUUUCUUUAUGUGCGUCUUGGACCUGCAUUUGUACUCGGAUGAUAUUUCCUGUAUUAGCCAUGUCCGAUGCAAAAGUCUCGUGUAAUCAUCAGGUAUAAUUAUGCACUUCACAUCUAUGGUCUGAUAUCUAGGGACGAUAUAGAAAUUCUUAAAGAGUGCUUAGGAGCAAUCCCUCUCUCGAAUUUAUUGCUAACUGAUUAGGCAAAACAUUGCAUGGAAUUUCAUUCCAGAUUGUCUUGAAAGAGGGCGAAAUAAUCGUAAGUGUGAAAUGCAUUUCUCAUCUGAGAGAACGAAACGAACUAGUGCAUUGAAUGGAGCCGUAUAUGCAAAAAAUGGUCAUUCUUUGUUGGUAUUCCUCUUGUAGCUCCUUCAUUUUGGUAUGCAUCUAUACUCACUCAGCUUCUUUGCCUCUUGUAUAUGAUCUCCCGUGUGAUUGGCCCUUCUGUAUGGUGCCGACAUUUAUUUAAUAUCUUGCAGAACUCAGACUGAGUUCUGUUGGAGAACCUCAACGGGAACAAAUGUCUUCAGGUUGCGCAAGAUUAAUAAAUGCAUAUGAGAAUGUCUCGUCUCAGCAUUUUCCAUGUAGAAGAUUAUCUUGACUCUUUGAGUUUUAAGAACAAAAUUGACAAAUAGGCACCUUACUCGUCACCGUGCCAUACCCUCCCCCAUAGGGCCUUCUAGAGUGCUAAACUUCUUGUACUUUCUCUGUUAUCUUCCAUCUAUACAAAGGUUGUCCAGAAUAUUUAAAUAAGUUAGGAAAUAUGAUAGAUAAUAGGCUUGAUUCCCAAUAUAUUUGUGGUAGAGAAUUGACACUGUUUCUGUUUUAUGGCAACCGUAUAUUUGUCUUGCCCAUAUCUUCAGGUACUUCUUUUGUUUGAGGUAGAAGAGCUCUAUACAAUAGUUCUAGCUAAGUGUAAUCUUCUCCUCUCUUUAUUCUCGUUCUUUCUUGAAACACCUUUUGUCAUCUCAUGGCAUUCCAGUUAUUAAUGGGUAAAGCACGGCUCUUCUUUGGAAUGUGAUUCUUAUGCUACAGUUGCUCAUGUGCAAAUGCUUCUCUUCUAGUCCCCACAUUAUCCUGUCAGGAGCACGAUUUAUUGAGUUUUCUGUUUCUGCUUUUAUGUUAUACUUGAAUGGAGAUUACCUAUUGUCUUUGCCGCAAAAUUCAUGGAAAUUACCUAUUCGAGUUGUUUGCUGCUUAGAAUAUUCUUACCAAGCUGGGCGUUAUGUACUUACUAUCUAGGUCCUUUUUGUUCCCACUUCCUAUUCAAAGUGGUUGAUUGGUACUUCUCUUACACUUCACUUUUUGGCUUGAUGUAUUUUGAGUCUCUUGUAGUGUUGUGUCCCAUGAAUUGAUAUGGCGCUCUUCUCAUGUUUCUGCGCCCUUGGCAGUCUCAUCUCUAGUCAGUACUCACCUCUUAUCUUCUUGGCUUUCACGAAGGGCUAAUUUUCACCUUGUUUGACACUUAGCUACCGGUUGAAACAGAAACAGUUAAAAGUUAAUUUAGCUCUCGUCUCGCCUUUUGAGGCCAAGCAAACAGCUCGAAAGCAAAUUCAGGUACACUGUAGUUUCAUUUUUUUUCCCUCCUCUGGUACUCCUUUUAUCGGUCGAUAUAGUUCGUUCUAAUUGCCAUGCUCUUUUAGUGAGAAAGGUGAAGCUGGCAAACGCACUUCUGAUACUGGGAUUUUUCUUCUGAAUACACACUUCUGAUACUAGUAAGGCUGCUUUUGUCCUUACAAAUCGGCAUGUCAUUAUAACCAGGACCCUAAAUAAUACAUUGGAAGCAAUUAGUGCUGAUUCCUUCCACUGUGGUGUCCGCUUCUCGAGCUUUGGGAUAUGGACUUCAGUGCAUGGCUGCUUGCUCCUAAUGUUUAACCAUUAUCCACAUUCCGGCGUGGAAAGGUGUUCAUGGGUAAUUCAUGUCGUCAGAGGCCCAAUGUAGAAGUUUCGUAGCUGGGAUGAUGCUAUUGCCAAGAAGCAGGGACUCGCCGUCUCAACACUCAGUUCUUCUCUGUUUGUAAGGUUGGGAUUUGAGAUGGAGCAAACAAGAUAUGCUGUCCUAGUAGUUUGCAAAUGAAGCGAUUAAGCUCUUUGCUAUUUCCUGUAUCUUUACUUUGAGGAUGACAGAUUUUUCCGACCACUCAAUAUCACUCUUCCCUUGUUUGUGAUUCCAUCUUAUUUUCAAUGUACCAUACUGAUUGAGAAAUAAAUAUUUUAUGCAAUUCAGUGAUGAAUUGUAACAUUUUUGUAUCUCUGAAUAUUAAAGUUGGAGCUAAUACUGACUACUGAGGCAAUGUCUGCACAGCCUCUUUUGGGGGCUUUUGUUUUCUGUAGGCGGCCAAUAGUUUGGAUGCUUCGGUUUUGCAGAAGUGGAGGGAAUUAAGACAGCACGGCGGAGAAAGAGAGAAUGGCACCACUUUCCCCAAGUGGUUGAUCUUAGUCUGCUAGUCACUGCUUUAUGUCGUGUAACAAUCUUUAGACUUUUGCAAAAUAUGUAGAAAUUAUCUUUAAAAUUCCAGAAUUCUACAAACACAUGACCCCCCACAAUGGAUUUUCCAAUCCACUGUCGGCCAUCCGACCAAGGGAAUCAAGACCAAAGCCUCACCAUUGGUAUCAGCUUUGCUGUUGGUAAACGUUGAUAUGUCGAUGAAGAUGGUGCUAAUGAACGCCGGGAGAAAGACGUCGUGAUUGAUUGAUCCUAUUUCUUGAUAGUUCCAUCAAUCUGUCGAGGCAAUUGCUUGUUAGAUAAGAUCUUAGCCUUUCAGUCCAGUACGUCAAGAAAAAGACAGAUUACGCAUCGAAUAUCGAAUAAACCACCUUGCUCCAUUCAAUCAAAAAAUUACACCCCUAGGCUUUCAGCUUUCCAA